CAGACGUUUUACCGUUCAAAUACACUAUUCGGGUUUGCUUGGUUGAGAAUUCAUCUGUACCAGAUUUGAACUGCAGCUGUAUUUUAUGUAUUAUGAUGGAGGUUUAAAUGUUCAGCGUUUUCAGUCCGCGGCGGUCCAAAACCGCGGCGGUCCCUUCCGCUGCGCGUCUGGAUGCAGUGCGCAGCUCUGGCGCGCAGGACGGAACAGGCAGAGCGGAAGAAGUUCCACUCAGCGCCGAGAAUUCAACCAAAGCCUUCCUACCAGCAGACCGCCGUUUAUUUGUACUAAUGCUGAUCCGUUUAGAUCCUGUCAGUCUUCACCAUAAGAUUUGUCAUGUUGACCAGAGACACGACUAUUUAUCUGCGUCCAGGUUCAGGUUUCUUUAAAAGAACAUCCCUAAAUGCUGAUUUGUCAUGUUGGUGAUCAGAGACGCAGCCAUUUAUCUCCAUCCAGAUUGAGGUGAGUAAUCUUAUGUAACUACACAAGUAAUUAAAUAUACCAGGCUAACUUAUAAAGCACUAUAGUGAGGUUAGAAAUGUUGAAAAGGUGGGUUAAUUCUCAACUGGAACAGUGAUGAAUUCGCCUUUUCGCCGUUUACCCAUCAGACUUUUAGAGUGGUGAGAUGGUGAUGACUGAAUUUCCAGUCUCAGUUUUACAUGUAGUCUUCCUUCAGUGUUUUAUUUGGAAGACGACUAAUAUUUUUGUUGCGUAAUUUUUCAAAUAUUCUCUAAAUGUUGCAGGUGAUUGGUUGCAGAUUUUUGUAAAUGCUGGUAAGUCAAUAUUGUAUUUAUUCGGCAGGCUUAUAGUUUGAGUUGUAAUGAUGAGUUCCACCUUUUCGCCGUUUACCCAUCAGACUUAAACGGAAUGCUGAAAAUGUGACAAACUGAACUAGUACUGUUCUUACCUUUACUUGGGUAAGAACUUUCAUUUAUAACUAACUUUCUGAUUAUUUUGGUAGGUGUCUGGAACCAGUUGGGUGAGAAAACAUUUGUGAAAGAAUGGGUCGCUCUCGGGAGCUCAGUGAAUCGGUGCAACAAAUCCAGUCCUGAAAUUUUCUCGCUCCUAACGUUACAGUCAACUGCCAGCCGUGUUAUAAGAAACUGAAAGUGUUUGGGAAUGACAACAACUCUGCCAUGAAGAGACCUCCAAACUUAGUUCCAGUGAAAGGAACGCUGAAUGCUUCAGCAUACCAAGACAUUUUGGACAAUUCCAACUUUGUGGGAACAGUUUGGAGCUGGCUCCUUCCUCUUCCAACAUGACUGUGCGUCAGUCCAUCAGUGGAUAGAAGAGUCUGGUGUAGAUGAACUUGACUGGCCUGCUCAAAGUCCUCAACCCAACCCGAUAGUAUUAACACCUUUGGGAUGAAUUGGACCAGAGAAUGAGCACCAGACCUUCUCGUUCAAAUGUGCUUCUGAAGUAAUGGUCAAAAAUUUACAAAAACACACUCAUAAACCUUGUGGACAGCCUUCCCAGAAGAGGUGAAGCUGUUCUAGUUGCAAAGGGUGGACCAUCAAUGAAUCCUAUGGAUUAGGAAUGGGAUGUCACUUAAACUCAUAUGUGAGUCAAGACAGGUGAGCCAAUAGUUUUGGCAAUAUAGUGUAUUACAAUUAUGUAAGUUUAAUUUAAAGCUGUUGUUAAAUUGAUACUUGACUCAAAUCUGUUCUUGUUAUUUCUUAUUUUAUACUUUGUAUGAAAAUGCAUGCUUCUAUUUGCUUUUCACUUUGCUACUGCAGGACAAUAAAUUAUAUUUCUAAAAAAAUUUUUUUUGUCUUUCAACUCACAUUUCUGUUAUAAAUAAUAAACUUUCUAAAUCU